rnacentral:rRNA from 1 species
AGAGUUUGAUCCUGGCUCAGAGUGAUCGCUGGCGGCGUGCUUAACACAUGCAAGUCGAGCGAAUUUCAGCAGCGUAUCGCUGAAGUUAGCGGCAGACGGGUGAGUAAUACUUGGGCAAUCUGCCCUUGAGUGGGAAACAACCUGACGAAAGUCGGGCUAAUGUCCCAUAAGACCACAGGAUGGCAUCAUCCAGGGGUCAAAGCUCCGUAAGGGGCGCUUGAGGAGGAGCCCGAGUCCUAUCAGCUAGUUGGUGAGGUAACGGCUCACCAAGGCUUUGACGGGUAGCCGCCCUGAAAGGGUGAUCGGCCACACUGGCACUGAGACACGGGCCAGACUCCUACGGGAGGCACCAGUGGGGAAUUUUGGACAAUGGGGGCAACCCUGAUCCAGCGACGCCGCGUGAAGGAUGAAGGUCUUCGGAUUG